rnacentral:rRNA from 1 species
GAUGAACGCUGGCGGCGUGCCUAAUACAUGCAAGUCGAGCGAACAGACGAGGAGCUUGCUCCUCUGACGUUAGCGGCGGACGGGUGAGUAACACGUGGAUAACCUACCUAUAAGACUGGGAUAACUUCGGGAAACCGGAGCUAAUACCGGAUAAUAUAUUGAACCGCAUGGUUCAAUAGUGAAAGACGGUUUUGCUGUCACUUAUAGAUGGAUCCGCGCCGCAUUAGCUAGUUGGUAAGGUAACGGCUUACCAAGGCAACGAUGCGUAGCCGACCUGAGAGGGUGAUCGGCCACACUGGAACUGAGACACGGUCAAGACGCCUACGGGAGGCAGCAGUAGGGAAUCGUCCGCAAUGGGCGAAAGCCUGACGGAGCAACGCCGCGUGAGUGAUGAAGGUCUUCGGAUCGUAAAACUCUGUUAUUAGGGAAGAACAAAUGUGUAAGUAACUAUGCACGUCUUGACGGUACCUAAUCAGAAAGCCACGGCUAACUACGUG